rnacentral:lncRNA from 1 species
CUUUUGGAGUGAGAAAGAAAGGAACAUCCCUGGAUUGUGCCCCUACCAUGUGCCACAGACCAGCUGCUAGAAGUGCAUUAUCUCAUCUAUGGAUGAUGUGGUACCAGCUGAGAGCAUCCUUCUGGCUGGUACCCUUGGCCCUCGGACACUGCGAGAUGAUAGGAGAACAAUGCCUGAGCCUGCUUUUCCACUUCAGCAGCCAGUCUUCCGGCCCAGCAAAUGAAAUAGCAGGUGGGUAGGCUUCUUUGGGGGCAUAUGAGAACUCUCUGGUCUAUAUUUUUAGUAUCACCUUAGGAACUUGGCACCUUGUUCCCUGCAGCCAGGUUGGUUUGACUUGGCAGGAAGGGAGGGAUGCUUGGGAAAGCACUCCCUGUUCACUGAGCCAAACCCUCAGAAGUCUCUUGAGCAGUAUUGGGGAGUGGCAGGAACUUAGAAAGAGGCUGGCUGGCUGACAACAAUAAGUGACGGCAUCUGUGGCAUGAUUUUACUGAUGCCAGGAAGUUCCCCUACUCCACGAUAUUCCACCCACACAGUCUAUCUUAUUUCCCUCCAUUGACUCAACUAAAUUCCAUUCAAUAUCGAUUAAGCAUGGUUAUGGACCAAGGCACUAUACUAUGUACUUGGAGGUUAAGAGACAUGAGUAAGUAUAAUUGCUAAGGCUUAGUGAAUGCUUAUCAUGUUCCAGGCACUAUUCUAGGCCACUUUGCCUAAAUACUCUCAUAUAACACCCACAAACCCUGUGAGGGAAUAACUAUCACUGUUUCCAUUUCACAGAUGAGAAAACUGAGACCAAGUCUAAGGUCGGUAAAUAACAGUGUGAGGAUUAAAACGUACAGUCUAACUGUAGAAUCAGGAUUCAUUAUGUGAAUGAUUCAGCAACUGCCCUAAUUAUCUUACUAUGUAGUUGGGAGAUAAAGACAUAUGAAAGUUGAAAGAUGACUAAAAAAGACAAGAGAAUUUUUGUGUCAGAUAUGUGUUCUGGGUAAUACAUUCAAUGAAGGGCUCGGAGGAUGAGGAAUCACUUUAGGUUGGAGUCGGAAGGAAUUCAUACAGAUGAUUCUGGGCUCCAUAGGGGUAGAUUUAAGCUGGAUAAUGAAGAUGGAUCAUAUUCUGACCAGCAGAGAGGAUAAAGAAGGGCAUGUGAGUAGAACAAGAAGCCUAGAAAAAUAGAAUGCCAGGGACAUUUGGAAAGUAGAGAUAAAAACAGCGGGAGAGGAAAAGGGGGGUCAAAUUGCAAGGAGAUUUGCAAAUGAGAGCCGGAGAAAGAGAGCCAGAAACAGAGACAGACAGACAGACCUAGACAGAGAGGGUUUGAGUUCGCUGUAGCCUGUCUACAGUGGGGAACGCGUGAAGGGUUUUGACGAGAAGGUAACAUGGAGAACACUCCUGAUUUACCAACAUCGCUCUUGUAUUGGUUAUUGGCUGGUUUGGGAAGGGAAAGGACUGAAGUAGAGAAACAGUGUGUAGGCCAAUAUGGGUGAAUGGACGUGGCAUAAGGAAGAAAUCGUGAGGAAGGAAAAGAAGGGACCAGUUAGUGAGACAUCGUGACUUAAAAAUCUCUGAGGCUUUGUCAAUGAUUGGAUGUACUGGAUGGAGAAGAACUUAAGAAAAGGGAGAAGUUCCAGAUGACUUAGGGGGCGUGAAUGCGAAACCUGUAAUAUCACUGACUGGUAAAAAAGGGAAGUCUCGGGGUAGAGGAACUACUUUUUUUGAGCAAACGUUUAGAAUGGUUUGGUUUUAGGCAUGUAUUUGUGGUAACAGUGGGGAUAUGCCUGUGGAUAUAUUUCAUAGUAUUAUCUAGAAAAGGCAAAGAGGUGGGUAAAUGAGGUUUUUAUCUGCUAUUGAGAAAGAAGGUAUGAACGUUUAAAAUGGUCACAUGUGAUAACAAUAACCAAGCAUGGUUUUCUUCUAAAAUACAACCAGAGUUGACAAAAUUUCUAACAAAAAUAAGUUUCUAUGGCUCUGAGAUAGAUGACCAUUAGGGAAUUC